AAAACAACCAGGGCUGCUACCUUGGUUCACAGUCACAGCCUCGAACAGCUAGCUACCCUUUCUUCUGAGAGAGAACUGGAACCUUAGCACUGUCCAAGAUGCUCUAAGGAUGCUUGAGAACACCAGUGCCACCACACUGUGCAGUUGCCUGAGAAGAGUUUUCAUCUCGUGAUGGAGUGUGGAAGAAAUGACCUGUGCAAAGUUUCUUAGACCUCCACCAAGUGACUGCGUCUUCUAAUCUUCCAGCUCUCCCAAAGCCAUCUACCAAAGAGCUGCUCCAGUUACCACUGCACUGAGAGAUGAGCUGGACUCACUCAAGCAUGCCUAGGUUCUCACAGCUCUCUGAGGGGACCCACAAGUGGCCAUCCUCUGGUUCAAGAUCUUCAAUGAUCCCUCGUUGGCAGAUGCUCUGAAACUUUCUAGGUGAAUUUACUCAGCUAACUCUGGAAAGUAAAAGUGAAACAGGUCGUUAAAGGUGAUGGCUGAGUGGGAAAGAUUGCAUACAUUUUCCGGAUGACAUCACUGAACCUGGGGGAGACAGGAAGUCAUCCAGCCGAGACAUGCGCUUCAGUCCUCAGACUCCAAGUCCACUACUCUUCCUAUUGAGCCAAAUGGCAGACUCUUAAUCUGA